rnacentral:lncRNA from 1 species
GUGACCGUCGAAGUUCAGGGCACAAUCAUCGCUCCACCAAGCGGAUACCCGACUCCUGAAUGGUUCUUAUUCGAACAUGUCGAUAAUGUCGUCCUCACCGGACCCGGCACAUUCCACGGCAAAGGUGAAGCCGUUUGGAAAGCAGAUGGCUGUGGUAAAAAGGUGGACUGCAAUCUUCCUCCAACGGUAAGAUUUAAGUUAAUAAUAAUAUUAUUAACUAAUACUUUUGUACUGAUCAGACUUACACCUGCAUGCAGUCUCUAAAAUUCAGAAACAUCUUAAACCUUGACAUUUCCGGCAUUAGCUCGGUCAACGCAAAGGCCUUCCACAUGUUCUUGGUAAAAACUACAAAUGUCAACGUCCAAAACAUCAAGAUUACUGCCCCUGCUGAAAGUCCCAACACCGAUGGUAUCCAUUUGAGCAAUGCGGUCAACGUUCACAUCGUUGACAGUUUAAUAGCUACAGGAGACGAUUGUAUCUCAGUCGGUCGUGGUUCCACCAAUGUAACCGUCGAGCGCGUGACUUGUGGCCCAGGACACGGCCUAAGUGUCGGUAGUCUUGGUAAGUACCCGAACGAGGAGAAUGUUGCCGGCAUUCACUUUAAGAAGUGCACCAUGAAAGAUACUGACAAUGGUCUUAGAAUCAAGAGUUGGGGUGGUUCGUCUCCAAGCACGGCUGUGGACAUCACGUUUGAAGAUAUUAUGAUGACAAACGUCAAGAACCCAAUCAUCAUUGACCAAAAUUACGGCUCAAGAGGCGGAGUAAGAUAUACCCGUGGAAAUUUCAAACCAAAACUUCACUUGAUCAUUCAGCAGUUUACGAAAAUAAACUUUUUGUGUGUGUUUGUAGGAUUCAAAAGUUGCGAUAAGCAAUGUGCUGUUCAAGAACGUAAGAGGAACAACAAUUACAAAAGACGAAGUUCAGAUCAUGUGCAGCAAAUCAGUACCGUGCAAAGGAGUCAGCGUCGUUGACGUGGAAUUGAACUUUGUAGGUGACAAAGGAGGACAUCCCUCGGCGUCAGGAGGUUUGGUCGGAGCUCUUUGUGACAACGCCAAUGUUAUCUUCGGUGGAAAACUUAGCUUCCCUCUGUGUCCCAAAUAAGCUUUUUGGUAAAUUUGAUGUUGAAAACAAGUAAAAAAUUUCAACAAACAUUUCGUUGUUUUGUUUGUGAGUUAGUUUGUAAGUUUAUCAACAAUAAUUGGAUUAUAUGACUUUUUGAUAUUUUUUUCUAUGACUAUAAUUUCUUUUUGUGGUAAUAAUAUAAUAAACAGACCCUUCAAUUGAUUGCUUGAAAUUUUCUGGUCAUAACUUUGGUCUGUGAUGAGUUUAGUGUAUAGUUGUAUACAACCAUUUCACAUUAAACUAUAUUUAAAAGCUCGGAUCAAAGGAACAAAAUAAAAUUAGAACAUCAGCUAUCUGUCGCCUGAAAGCUUGCUUUGUUUCUUAAAUUUAGCUUAACUUUAUUAGUAACAAGCAUAUAAAUGGUCAAGCUAACUGAGAGUAUCGUUGUCUCCAGUGUCCACCAUCUCAAGAACUUCUUCAAUGAUAUUAUUACAAGGCUGAGAACAAAAACUUUCCACCCUCUUAAAUUCAUUAAUUUGAAAACGUAUACGAAUCCUCCAUUCCCUUUUACAAACUACACCUAGAAGGCGUUGAUGUGUCCAGUCCAGUGAUUUACAUUUUUCCUAGUAUUCAAAUGAGGCCCAUGCAAUUCUAGUGAUAGGCUCUAUAGAAACAUGAUGAUCCUAUUUGGUCAAAUACCUGGCGACAAAUUCCUAUGUGCUUUGAUAACAAACAGUAUGUCUGAAGUUUGAACAAGUUCCUGGAUUCUCUUACGUACAAAUAAUUAGUUAGCUUGUUUAUAUUCUCUUCCACAUAAAAUCAACAACAAUUAGUCUGGGAAAAGUAUUUUUUUAGACCCCAACAAUUGCGUCAUGCCUUUUUAGACCCAAACAAAACAUAAGUGCGAAAUCAUUCAUAAACUGAGAUUUUUAAAACCAUUUAAACCCAAACUUGACUAUAUAACAUGAAAUUCUAUCUUGACUAACUUCAACUGUUAAACCAUGCUUAGUCGGAUAAGGAAAAAGUGUUGAUUUCAACCCGUACAAUUUUGGCCGUGCCUUUUCAGACUUGGACAAUGAAUAAGUGCGAUUUCAUACCCAAACUAAAUAGUAAUUUGAUUUUCUUAUUCAAACUUUAAUAUUAACAUAAAAAACUACUUUGACUAACUUUUGGUUAGUCAAUCGAAGUCGUUUUAACUAAACUAAUUAAAAAAACACACUAUGACUCAAACACAUGCCUAGAGAAGCACUAAACUGAGCAUUAAACCACUUGACUAAGACAAGUUUUGUAAAAUAUACAUAUAUACUAAAUUAUAUAGGUACCAAAACAGGUAAAGAAAUCACUAACUUCUUCUCUCUCUGGCUCUCUCUCUCUCAGUUGCCAAUUUCAGAAGUUUCAGUCUUUAGGAAGUUUUAUUUUUGAUAGUAAUGAACAUUUUAAAAUCGCAUGAGAAAGAAAUGUUGGGAGCCAAAAAGAGUAGCUCCGGCUACAACUCGUAGACAAGAGCGGAGAUUAGUUUCUUCAUUUAAAAAUGAAUUAGCAUGAACCGGGGCAUUACCGACUUGAUGGCAAAGUGUUCGUUUAAUUCACUUGCCUAUCGUGGGUUCGGCCCUCCAAGUGACGGAAUUUUAUUAUUUUAGCUAAAACGACGUCGUUUUAACUCUCCUCGACACGUCAUCUCUGUCUAGACACUGACUCGCUCAAAAAUAACGGUUGACUAACCAAACAUUAGUCAGAGUAAUUUUCUUUGAAAUUCAAACUAUCGUUCAGUUCGGGUAUAAAAUUCAAAAUAUUGUUCAGUUUGGGUAUGAAAUCGCACUUACUUAUUGUUCAGGUCUAAAAAGGCAUGACCAAAAUUGUACGGGUUGAAAUCGACACUUUUCCUUUAUCCGACUAAGCAUGGUUUUACGGUUGACGUAGGAUUUUAUGUUACGGAGUCAAGUUUGGGUCGAAAUAUUUUUAAAAAUCUCAGUUCAGGAAUGAUUUCGCACUUAUGUUUUGUUUGGAUAAAAAUGCACGACGCAAAUUGUUGGGGUCUAAAAUGACCCUUUUCCCCAAUUAGUCAUGCCAUCGUUUCUCUUAGACACGAAAACAAACUCAGAAGAAGUAUUCCGAGAAUCAAAUACUGUCAGAAAAAUAUUGAUAGAUUGCUGAGAAUUUUCUUGUGGAGUUUCCAAUAUCCUAGUAAAAAAAGGAAUAUGGAAAAGGGCAUAAACUUUCGAGUGCACUAGGGAAAUAAAUUGAUGUCGUGUAUAAAUAAUGCCCUUGCUUAAAUGAAUUCUCCCAAAACAUUCAUCAUGGAAAAAGAUAAGAAGAGACUCCAAUAGCAUCCACGAUCCGAAGCGUCGUGAUUCAGAUCAAUAUCUCAUCACGAAGGAAGUAAGGAAGGAGAUAGAAGAGAGGAAAAAGAGGAAAGACAGAGAGCAAAGAGAAUGGGGCUAGGGAAGGAAUCAAGAAACCUAAGUGUUGUGACGGAAGCGAUAAGAACAGACAGACGCGGAACGCACAGAUGGAUACACGCAAUAAAUGAAAAGAACACAAGAUUUAACUGGUUUACCAAUAGGUUAUUUCCACUGAUAAAGAGACACUUUUAUUAAUAAAGUAUUUACAGAAAUCUGUCUAGAAUAAGAUUGCUCUCUAUUUCAGCUGUUAAUUAAGUUUAUAAGAGGCACAAGAUAUAUAUAGUGGUAUCUUAUCUCCUAGAAACCCUAGCACUAAAGUCCAAACAGAUUCGGAUUUUGUAGAGCAUCAAAAUGCAAGAUGCACAUUUUAUGAAGUGGACAUUUCAGUGCUUUAGGUAACUCAGAUUUCCCUACAACUCUAAAGUACCGAAGACAUGUUUCUGAAGUGAGCAUUUCAGCGCUGUAGGUGAAAUGCAUAUUCAAGGCAUUACAACAAAUCUUCACCUUGACUUAAAUCUUCCAAAAACCAAUGUACCAGAAGCAUUAUCAGCAGUGCCAGAUGUACUAGACUCUCUCUUUUCUUCAGACGUUCUUUCGGAUCAGAUGUCCUAGCGGAACAGAUGAUAUGAUGAACCAGAUGCCCUUCAGGACUAGACGCUCAACUAGAGCCAGACGUUCUUCAUCAGCUAGAUGUCCUUUAGAACCAGAUGCUAUGAUGAACCAGAUGCCCUUUAGGGCCAGACGCUCAACUAGAGCCAGACGUUCUUCAUCAGCCAGAUGUCCUUUAGGACCAGAUGCCCUCUUGGGGCUAGAUUCCCACUCGGGACUAGAUUAACAGAUCGAGAUGUUUAACAAAUCCAAAAAAUGUUUGAACUUGCUGUGAGUAACCGACUUAGUGAACAUAUCGGUGGAAUUAUCAGUAGUUCCCACUUUCUUCACUUGACUCUUCUUCUCAUCUUGCAAAAAGUGAUACCUCACAUCAAUAUGCUUGGUUCUAUGAACCUGAUCCUUGGCUAGACAGAUAACACUCAAGCUAUCACAAUACACUGUAGCCUGAUCAUGAUGUAAAUCAUUUACCAGUCCUCUUAACCAUAAUCCUUCCUUAGCAGCUUAUGUCAAAGCCAUAUACUCUGCCUCAGUAGUAGACAAAGUCACUGUUGACUGCGUCGCCUUCCAACUAACCACAGAACUACCCAAAGCAAAUACGUAGCUGGUCACAUAUCAUAUGCUGUCCACAUCGCUUGCAUAAUCAGAAUCAGAAUAGCCUGCAACCAGGCCCGGAUUCCCACCUCCAUAGACGAGACCAACAUCAGAUGUACCUUUCAGGUACUGGAGAAUUCUCUUCACAGCAGUCCAGUGUUCUUUUCCUGGUUGUCGCAUAAGCCUGCUGACAACACUGACUACUUGUGCAAGAUCUGAUCUUGUACAUACCAUAUCAUACAUCAAACUUCCUACAACGUUUGCAUAAGGAACCCAUGACAUAUACUCCAUCUCCUCUUAAGACUGAGCACCAUAUAUGGUAAGAUGGCGCUCAGUGUGUUGAGGCUUCGCAGAAGAUAUCCCAAAUCUUGCCAGCACCUUAUUAAUAUAUGCUUCUUUUUAUUAAAAUAACUUCUUCUUUUCCCUAUCUCUGAAGAUCUCCAUCCCUAAGAUCUUCUUUGUUGCACCCAAAUCUUUCAUUUCAAAUUCAGAGCCCAACAACUCUACCAGCUUCAGAAUGCAUGUCACACAUGUUCUUAGUAGCUAUCAACAUGUCAUCCACAUAGAACACCCGAUAGAUGAAAGACUCAUCUUCCAACUUGCUCAUAUAGACACACCAAUCAUAAGGACUUCGGUUAUAGUCCAACUUGAUCAUAAACCUGUUGAACCUCUUGUACCACUGUCUGGGAGGUUGCUUAAGUCCAUAAAAGGACUUUUUCGACCUGCAAACUUGGUCUUCCUUUCCAGGAAUUUGGAAACCCUCUGGCUGAGCAUAUAUAUCUCUUCUUCCAACUAUAUAUGAAAGAAAGCAACUUUCACAUCAAGUUGCUCAAGCUCCAAAUCCUGACGCGCCACUAUUGCUAGCAACACUCUGAUGGAAGUAUGUCUGACCACUGGUGAGAAUAUCUCAUUGUAGUCUACUCUCUCUCUCUGACUAAAGCAUAUUUUAACAAUUCGAGCCUUAUACUUAACUCCUUCUACCGGUGUAACUCCAUCCUUGAUCUUGUAGACCCACUUACAAGUAACCACCUUUCUCUCUGAUAGUAAUGUAACCAGAUCCCAUGUAUGAUUCUUCUCAUGAGACUCCAUUUCGUCUCCUAUUGCAAUAUGCCAUUUCUCAGAUUCAGGACUAGAAACAACUUUUCUGUAAGUGGAUGGCUCAUAAGUAUCCACUUCCUCUGCAACCUGUAAUGCAUAACCCACCAUAACCUCAAAACAAUAUCUCUUUGGUGGUCUGACGUCGACCCUUCUUGGUCGAUCCUUAGCAAAGCUAAGUCUUGUAACCUCAGAUGGUUGAGCUUCCAUCUGAACAUCUCCUGCUUGCUCGUCCUGAUUUUCUGUAUGGUGCUGCAGAUCAACCACUUUAUUAUCAUUCUGCAGCUCCACCUGUUUAUCAGUGCUACCCUUAUAUGCUUCAAAACUGGACUCUGCUUGGCUUUUAAUCAUGGAACAUUGAUUAAAGAAAAUGUUACAGCUUAAAACCACUCGGUUUUCUGAUGGAGACUAUACCCUGUAUCCCUUGACUCCAUCACCGUAGCCCAUAAAUACUCCCUUCUUUGCUCUCAGCUCAAGUUUACCAUCGUUCACAUGAUAGUAAACAGUGCAACCAAAGGCUCUCAGAAUUGAGUAAUCAGCAUAUUUACCUGACCACACCUUAGAAGGUAUUUUGCACUCGAUGCCUAUGUGGGAACGAAGAUUAAUCAAGUAGCAAGUUGUAUUCACAGCUUCACCCCAAAACCAUUUCGCUAAUCCUGAAUUUGAGAGCAUGCACCUCGCUCUCUCAGCAAUAUCUGAUUCAUCCGUUCAGCUACACCAUUAUGCUGUGGUGUUUCCCUGACUGUAAGAUGCCUAGCAAUCCCUGCAUCCUUACAAAACUGAUUGAACUUCUUUCAUGUUUGAUUCUCCACCAGCGCUUUUCGUUCCUUGAACUGAUCGAAAGCUUCACUUUUGUGCUUCAUGAAGAAUAUCCAAGUCUUCCUCUAAUAGUCAUCAAUCAUAGACACAAAAUAUUGUGACCUUUCAGCAACUCCACUCUGGAGGACCCCAACAAUCCGCAUGGAUGUAAUUCAAUGUGCCUUUUUCCCUAUGAAUCGUCUUAGGAAAACUCUUCUUGUGUAGUUUCCCAAAAACACAGUGCUUAGAAAACUCUAGAUUCUUGGUUUUGUGACCACAUAGAAGAUAUUUCUUUGACAGAAUUUGCAUCCCACGUUCAUUCAUAUGCUCAAGCCUAAUAAGCCAUAGAUUAGUCGUAUCUUCUUUGCGAACCUCUGGUGAUGCAACCAUUUGCUGUACUAGUCAUAAGCCAUAGAUUAGUCGUAUCUUCUUUGCGAACCUCUAGUGAUGCAAACAUUUGCUGAACUAGUCACUGUAGAACCCUUCAACAAAUACAGAGUACCAUGCAUGAAACCCUUCAAGAUCACAUCUAAACCUCUGUAGACAUUUAGAGCUCCAUCUCCAGCUGAAUACUUGAAACCUUUACUGUCCAACAGACUCAUUGAUAUCAAGUUCUUCGUCAUUGACGAAACAUGCAUGACUUCGUUCAAUGUGAAGAAUCUACCAUCAUGUGUCUUGAGCUUGAUCGAGCCGAUCCCAACAAUCUUGCAGAUAAAAUCAUUUGUCAUCUUAAUAUUGCCGUCAGGUACCUCAACGUACUCUGCAAACAAAUCUCUCAUUCAUGCAUUCUUAGAGCAAAAAGACAUUGCUUCAGAAGUAGCUUGUUCUUUAGAGACUUUGUCAUGUACAAGCUCUCUAACUUCUACCAUAACCUAGCAGCCAAUUUCUCAUCCUAAACUUUGACAAUAAUUUCGUCUGCUAGACAAAACAAGAUUGUUGAGAACACCUUCUUUUCCAGAACUUCCAUUUCAGCAUAAUCAGUCUUCUUUCCUGACAAAGGUGUCAAGAUGCCUUGUUUCUUUAACAAAGCUUGCAUCUUUAUCUGCCAGAGAUUGAAACUUGUCGAUUUUCGCGUUUAUCCCAAACAUCUUUUCACGAGAUUACAAACCUGAGGCUCUGAUACCAGUUUGUUGCGACGGAUGCGAGAAGAGAAGAUGUGGAACACAUAGAUAGGUAAACGCAAUAAACGAAAAGAACACAAGAUUUAAUGUGCUUCACCAAUAGGCUACCUCCACGGGCAAAGAUAGAUUUUUAUUAAUGAAAUAUUUACAUAAAUCUAUCUAAAAGAAGAACUUAUGAGAUUGCUCUUUAUUUCAGCUGCUACUUAUGUUUAGAGGAAAAACAAGAUAUAUAUAAUGGUGAAGACAUGUUUUCUGAAGUGGACACUUUAGUGCCCUAGGUAACUCAGAUUUCCAUAUAACUCCAAAAUGCUGAAAAAAAGUUUUUGACGUGGACACUUCAGCGCUUUAGGUAAAAAGCAGAUUCAAAGCAUUACAACACUAAAUUUUAUGGUGGCCACGAGGAGGAGCAAGUUUGAAGAUGUGCCUAUGGAGUUUGAUAAGAACAACGCUCAAGUUAGUUAGACACGUUCUGUUUCUAAUGCAUCGGAAACUUCUAGUCAAAUUUUUGAAGCUGUUAAGCGAGCUUAGGAGCUGGCUGCUCAGAUGAAACCACAGAAAGCUGUUGCAGUGGCUCAGAAACCGAGCAAAAUCCAGAAGUGUGGAUGCACUUGGAAGAGAGAUAGAUAAACACGGUGGUUAGUGUGACUAAAUCUAGUGGUCUUACUACAUUGUGUUGGGACACAGUUUCUGAAAAGUGAGUGUUUUGACUUUUCCGGCCAAACCGGCAGUGGUCGUUAUCAGAUUAUUGGCUCAUUGUAAAGUUUGUAACGAGCACUACAAUCUGGUAUAUUCAUACAUCAAAAGCAGAGUUAAAUUAAAUGAUAAAUGAAUUGAUGAAGUUGGUAACUUGGUGUUAUCAAAACUCUGUAAUUUGCCUAGGUGUUAAUAUAACACUAAAGUCCCUACAUAGGGGAAGGCAAAACUUUCAGAGGUGUAUAAAUAUGCAUACACAUAUAAGUUUGUUCAAAAUAGUUUUCCAUUUUUUUUUUGCGGAUCACGUUUUAAUUUGAGUAAAAUCUAAAAGUAAAAAAAAAAAAAAAAUCUAAAAGUAGCACACAAACGAACCUAUAAAACAUCAUGAAUCCUCCAAUGAUCAAAUCACUUUAAAUUUGUCAACACAUUUUUAAAAGAAAAAAAAAAGAACAAAAAAAAAAAAAAUAUUACCACCAUGGCUAGCGCGAGAAGUUUGGUUGCCAAGGCAAAUAAUACUAAUGUAGGCUCAUUAAUCUUAAUGACCGUGGUGUUAGGUUCUUGUAUAGCUAAUGGUGAAUAUCUCGGUGCCCGCCGUGGCCUUGCCGCUGUUGCCGGAAACCCUACGGUCUUUGAUAUUACUAAGAAUGGAGCAGUGGGAAAUGGUGCCACCGAUUCUUCCAAGGUGAUAUUUCUUUAAUUUUAUGGAAUUAGCUUGAGUUUCGCUUCAUAAUUUAAGUUACUGUUAUUAUUAGUAAAAUACACAUGACAAGAAACAUUUAUCCAAUAAUAAAUGGUUUCUUAAAAAUAAUAAUAAUAAUAAAAAAAAUAAAAUAAAAAUAACAAAAAAUAUAAUAAAUGGUUUCUUUCUUCUAAAAAAUUUGUACGACAGGCGUUUCUAAACACAUGGCUCCAAGUGUGUGCCAGUCCUGUACCAGCAACGCUACUAGUCCCUAAAGGAGAUUUCUUGGCUGGUCCAGUAAUUUUUGCUGGUCCAUGCAAGAGCAAAGUGACCGUCGAAGUUCAGGGCACAAUCAUCGCUCCACCAAGCGGAUACCCGACUCCUGAAUGGUUCUUAUUCGAACAUGUCGAUAAUGUCGUCCUCACCGGACCCGGCACAUUCCACGGCAAAGGUGAAGCCGUUUGGAAAGCAGAUGGCUGUGGUAAAA